GGGCAGCAGCCAUUUGUCCUCAUUCAUCAAAAAUUUCAGCCACGUUUCACUCCACCAUUCACCACAUCCUAAGCCAAUCAUCUUACAUGCAAAUUUUUCUUUCCACAAUAAACUUGCCAAAACUCAAGAUCAUUCACAGAAAACUCAAAUAUCAUCAGCUUUCUUUCCUCUCCAAAAAUUCAAUCGAAACACAAGAAACCUCUUUGAACAAUAUCUACCUCAAAUCAACUCAGCCAUACACCAAACAUAUCAAAGAACACAGUCUGUCCACUUAUUAGAAGGUUUUAGCACUGGUUUUACAAGAAGAGAAUUGUGCAAAAUUUAUCUACAGGCUUGUCCUAUCAAGGUUGAGCGGCAGGUGGUGUCGUGCGAGGCUGAGGGAGGAUGUUGCUGUAGUUUCAUAUAAUAAUUUCCGCUGCCAUAAUAUUCACUUAGGUGGAUAUCUUUUGAGAAUGACUCUUUAAAUAUUCUUAGCCUAAUUAUUAUGAACUCUUUUGGCAAUCGCAUUUCUAGCAAUUGAACCUCGCAUAUAUGUAUGUCUAGUAUGAAGUGUUAUCUUGUUGUCUCAGACCUCCGAACUUUUGAUCCUGGUUGGGAAAAUUUCUAUCUUAAUUGUUGUAUUUAUUA